UAUGUACUCCCUCCGUCCGAAAAUACUUGUCAUCAAAAUGGAUAAAAAGAGAUGUAUCUAGAACUAAAAUACGUCUAGAUACAUCCCAUUUUAUCCAUUUUGAUGACGAGUAUUUCCGGACGGAGGGAGUAUAAC
rnacentral:pre_miRNA from 1 species